rnacentral:rRNA from 1 species
GAUGAACGCUGGCGGCGUGCCUAACACAUGCAAGUCGAGCGAGACGGUUGUGAUUGAAUCUUCGGAUGAUUGAAUAACUAGAAAGCGGCGGACGGGUGAGUAACGCAUGGGUAACCUACCUUUUACACAGGGAUAGCCAUUGGAAACGAUGAUUAAUACCUGAUAAUACUUAACUACUACAUGGUAGUUUAGUCAAAGAUUUAUCGGUAAGAGAUGGACCCGCGUCUGAUUAGCUAGUUGGAGAGAUAAAAGCUCCCCAAGGCGACGAUCAGUAGCCGACCUGAGAGGGUGAUCGGCCACACUGGAACUGAGACACGGUCCAG